rnacentral:rRNA from 1 species
CAGAACGAACGCUGGCGGCGUGGUUAAGACAUGCAAGUCGAACGGAUUAGUGAGGUAGUAAUAUCUUGCUGGUUAGUGGCGAACGGGUGCGUAACACGUAGAUACAUUCCGAAAAGCGGGGAAUAGCCCAGGGAAACUUGGAUUAAUACCACAUGUGGUCUAAGGACUAAAGAUGGCGAAAGCUGUCGCUUUUUGAUUGGUCUGCGGCCUAUCAGCUAGUUGGUGAGGUAAAGGCUCACCAAGGCUACGACGGGUAGCUGGUCUUAGAGGACGACCAGCCACACUGGAACUGAGACACGGUCCAGACACCUACGGGUGGCAGCAGUCGAGAAUCUUUCACAAUGGGGGCAACCCUGAUGGAGCGACGCCGCGUGGAGGAUAAGGUCUUCGGAUUGUAAACUCCUGUCAUGCGCGAACAAAAGUCACACACUAACACGGUGUGACCGUGAUAGUAGCGCAAGAGGAAGAGACGGCUAACUCUGUGCCAGCAGCCGCGGUAAUACAGAGGUCUCAAGCGUUGUUCGGAAUCACUGGGCGUAAAGGGUGCGCAGGUGGUCAUGUAAGUCAAAUGUGAAAGACUGGGCUCAACCUCAGAUUUGCAUGUGAUACUGCGUGACUUGAGAACUGAAGAGGGAUCUUGAAUUCACGGUGUAGCAGUGAAAUGCGUAGAUAUCGUGAGGAACACCAAAGGCGAAAGCAAGAUCCUGGUCAGCUUCUGACACUCAUGCACGAAGGCUAGGGGAGCAAACGGGAUUAGAUACCCCGGUAGUCCUAGCAGUAAACGGUGCAUGCUUGGUAUGGGAAUUUAGACAUUUUCCGUGCCGUAGUUAA